rnacentral:misc_RNA from 1 species
AACAUUCAAUGUCAAGAUUACAGCGCCAGCUGCAAGUAGCGCAAAUGCAACAGCGAAAACUUCAGACUGGGAAAUAACAUAAAAACUGUCAGGAUGCAUUUUCUUUUACAAUAGAAGGGAGAAAAAAAAAAUGAACAAUAUUGAGGGAAGAAAAACACUAAGAGCACCAACAGGGAAUGGUUCAGUUGAUACUCUUGGAGAUGAUCCUAGGCAGAGGGUCAUCACUUUAAAAAACCUAUCCUUUCUCUCAAAAACCAAAGGAAAGGCACAGGAAGUCCAAGUAUAAAAAGAUAAUAAAACAAAAUCUAGCAAGCUAUUAACAUGAUAGUAGCAUUCCCACCAAAAAUGAAGCAUGAGAAAGCAUGUGUAUAGGCACAAAAUGAAAGGGAACAAGAUCACAAGCAAACACCAAAGAAAGAUGAAAGCAAUUAAAUUCCACUUUAUUUAAUAUAUUCUGCAUCAGAUAGAUGUGUCAUAGAGCAUAUAAAUGUGAAAGAUAUGUUAUUCAUGACAUAAGAGCAAGUUUAAACUAAUUAAUCUAAAAUCAUUCUUCAAUUCAAAUGUAGGUCCAAUUGGGACCUUCAGUAAUCUUGUUCAAUUACAUCAAUUCUUUUUUUUUUUCCCCUUUAUAUUGAUCAUAGAACAAGGUAAAUUUAAUUUAUUUAGUUAUUUAUUAUUUUAUGAAUCAAGGUAUUUUUGCUAAUUUUCAAUAAUAUGAUGGAGCUAGAACUUUGCCAGUAACUUGUAAAAGAUUUCAGAUAAUACAAGAAUAUAGUUUUGGAAAUGAAAACCAGUUUGGGAAAAAUUUUAAGCUUUCUAGCUCCUUUUUACAAUUAUUUUAAGCUAAUGGAUUCUCAUGUAUUAUGUCUAGAAACACUUCUAGACAUGAACUGAAUACAUUGUCUUUCUAAGAAUUAAAGACCAAAUCAUCAACUGAUUGAAAACAUAAAAUAACACUUUCACAACCAUCAACCAUAUCACCAUCAAUUAGUGUGAAAAAUUAAAAGGGCCAAAAGUUUUCUGUUUGAAUACUGGUUAGAGUGCUAUUUAACAACAAAAAGGAAUAUCAUGUUGCAAUUCUAAUAUCUCAAGUUAUCUGCUUUUCUUUGCUUCCAAGUAUACCUCCUUAGUUAACUUACCCAUAUGUUAUCCAUCAAUACUCAAACUAGCAGCAGUCUUUGGAGCCUCAAAUGAUUUAAUGAUAUUGCUUGUUUUCUUACUGCUUUCCUCAAUCAGUAAUGAUCACCCUCCUAGCAAUGGUGGAGCAAAAAAUUUGAAAACCAAUCCAGAAAAUUGGUUGACCUAGCUAAUAGUUAGGUUACAGUUUUUACUUUAAAAAAUAGUUAACCAAAUCAGGUCAAGUGAGUGAAAUUCUCUGACCCAUAAAUUGGGGAUAACAAUCAACAAAGGUUUUUAUGUUGAGUUUGGGAUUGCCUCCACUAAAAUGGUUUAAGCCAAUUUGGCUUGGCUUCCCCUUACUACAUAUUUUCUUAAUUUUUCUAUUUUGUUUUCAAUGGGGGACAUCCAACACCCACCCCUCAAAUACAAUUAGACUAGACUCAACUUUAUAGGUCUAGUUGUCACUUGCACUGAGCGCAGUGACCCAUCCACUGAAGUCU